UCGUGUUCUAAAUAUGAUUUGAUAGCAA
rnacentral:sRNA from 1 species